AGGGCGUAUGGGGAAUGCCUAGGCACACUCCGGCGAAGAAGGACGCAGCAAACAGCGAAAUGCGACGGUGAGCGGUAAGCACGUGAAGAGCCGUCGAUAUCCGAAUGGGGGAACCCACACGGAGUCAUAUCCGUGUAUCACAUGUCGAAUACAUAGACAUGAUGAGGCGAGACGCAGGGAACUGAAACAUCUAAGUACCUGCAGGAAGAGAAAAUAAGAAUGAUUUUCUGAGUAGCGGCGAGCGAAAGGGAAAGAGCCCAAACCGAUCUGAGGAUCGGGGUAGUAGGAUCAUCGAUAAAUCAAACAGAGGAUCAUAGAGGAAUCACAUGGGAAGGUGAGCGAGAGAGGGUGAGAGCCCCGUACUCGAAAUGAGAGACUGGAGAGAGAUGACACCUGAGUAGGGCGGGACACGAGAAAUCCUGUCUGAAUCAGCCGGGACCAUCCGGCAAGGCUAAAUACGAGAGAGUGACCGAUAGUGAACCAGUACCGUGAGGGAAAGGUGAAAAGAACCCCGGGAGGGGAGUGAAAGAGAACCUGAAACCAUAUGCCUACAAGAAGUCAGAGCCCGUUAAAGGGUGAUGGCGUGCCUUUUGUAGAAUGAACCGGCGAGUUACUGUAUGGAGCGAGGUUAAGCAGGAUAUGCGGAGCCGAAGCGAAAGCGAGUCUUAAGAGGGCGAAAGUUGCAUGCAGUAGACCCGAAACCGGGUGAUCUAGCCAUGACCAGGUUGAAGUUGGGGUAAAACCCGAUGGAGGACCGAACCGACCCCCGUUGAAACGUUGGCGGAUGAGUUGUGGCUAGGGGUGAAAUUCCAAUCGAACCCGGAGAUAGCUGGUUCUCCCCGAAAUAGCUUUAGGGCUAGCGUCGAGAGAAGAGUUGCGUGAAGGUAGAGCACUGAAUAUGUGAUGGCCCCAUCUCGGGGUACUGAGCAUAAUCAAACUGCGAAUGUCACGCCAACAUGCUCGGCAGUCAGACAGCGGGUGAUAAGGUCCGUUGUCAAGAGGGAAACAGCCCAGACCAUCAGCUAAGGUCCCAAAAUGUAUGCUAAGUGGAAAAGGAUGUGGAGAUGUACAGACAACUAGGAGGUUGGCUCAGAAGCAGCCAUCCUUUAAAGAGUGCGUAACAGCUCACUAGUCGAAUGACUCUGCGCCGAUAAUUUACCGGGGCUAAGCAUACUACCGAAGCUAUGGAUCCCAAGGGAUGGUAGGGGAGCGUUCCAUGAACGGAGAAGCGUGAUCGAGAGGACGCGUGGAGAUCAUGGAAGAGAGAAUGCCGGUGUGAGUAGCGGAACGUGGGUGAGAAUCCCACGCACCGAAAACCCAAGGUUUCCAGAGGAAGGUUCGUCCGCUCUGGGUAAGUCGGGACCUAAGGCGAGGCCGAAAGGCGUAGUCGAUGGACAACAGGUAGAGAUUCCUGUACCCGUAUAUAUGUGAAGGAAUGACGGAGAGAGGAAGCUGCAGCCAGCGGCUGGAAGAGCUGGUGCAAGCGAGAUAUCGGGAUGGCAGGCAAAUCCACCAUCCGAAACGAGAAGGCGUGAAGCGUACGGAAAGCUAAGGCGAGUACGGAAGGCAGUGGAGGAGCUUCCAAGAAAAGUUUCUAACGAAAGUAUAUGUGACCCGUACCGAAAAUGGACACACAUGGGUGAGGAGAGAAUCCUAAGGUGAGCGAGAGAACUAUAGCUAAGGAACUCUGCAAAAUGACUCCGUAACUUAGGGAGAAGGAGUGCUCAUAGAGAUAUGAGCCGCAGUGAAACGGCCCAAGCGACUGUUUACCAAAAACACAGCUCUCUGCUAAGCCGCAAGGCGAAGUAUAGGGGGUGACGCCUGCCCGGUGCUGGAAGGUUAAGGGGAGGGGUUAACGCAAGUGAAGCCCUGAACUGAAGCCCCAGUAAACGGCGGCCGUAACUAUAACGGUCCUAAGGUAGCGAAAUUCCUUGUCAGGUAAGUUCUGACCCGCACGAAAGGCGUAACGAUUUGGGCGCUGUCUCAGCUGUAGACUCGGUGAAGUCUUAGUACCUGUGAAGAUGCAGGUUACCCGCGACUAGACGGAAAGACCCCAUGGAGCUUCACUGCAGGUUGAUAUUGGGAUUUGAUGCAGCAUGUACAGGAUAGGUAGGAGGCAAGGAGAUGGAUACGCCAGUAUUCAAGGAGCCGCUGUUGGGAUACUACCCCUGUUGUAUUGGAUUUCUAACCGGACGACGUAAAGCCGUUGACGGGACAGUGUCAGUCGGGCAGUUUGACUGGGGCGGUCGCCUCCCAAAGAGUAACGGAGGCGCCCAAAGAUACCCUCAGCUUGGAUGGAAACCAAGCGCAGAGUGCAAAGGCAAAAGGGUGUUUGACUGCGAGACCCACAAGUCGAGCAGGGACGAAAGUCGGGCUUAGUGAUCCGGCGGUGCUGAAUGGAAAGGCCGUCGCUCAACGGAUAAAAGCUACCCUGGGGAUAACAGGCUGAUCUCCCCCAA
rnacentral:rRNA from 1 species